rnacentral:lncRNA from 1 species
GAUGCCAUGGAUUCAGUUGUUUAUUUGAUGUGAUGAAGAACUCCCACCCACCAAGUAUAUGGUAAUAUUUUAGUCUCUCUCAUCUCACAACACAGAAGAGGACUUCAACGCACUAGCUGGAAGAGAAAAAGAAGAGAUGCCAUGGAUUCAGUUGUUUAUUUGAUGUGCUGUUACGAAGUUUCUCAAUGUUCCAGGUUGAAGUUAGGGUGGUUAUCCUUUUGAUUGCUUUAAUUUGUUUUUGGGAGUUUGUUUGGAUCUGUAACAGAUCUGCCACACAUGUUUGGUUAUCUCUAUGUUCCGGUCGUUGACGGUCUUUGUUUGUUUAUUUUUUUUUAUCGAUUAUCAUGGCCUCAGAACUCCAGGUCGUCUUUUUUCUUCUUUUACAUUUACUGCUCAGACUCGCACCCCAAAGGAUGACUUGUUCUAGAUUUGUAAUUCUCAUGGGGAUUAUUGGCAAGAUACAUGUGG